UACGGGGGGGGCAAGCGUUGUUCGGAAUUACUGGGCGUAAAGGGCUCGUAGGCGGCCAACUAAGUCAGACGUGAAAUCCCUCGGCUUAACCGGGGAACUGCGUCUGAUACUGGAUGGCUUGAGAUUGGGAGAGGGAUGCGGAAUUCCAGGUGUAGCGGUGAAAUGCGUAGAUAUCUGGAGGAACACCGGUGGCGAAGGCGGCAUCCUGGACAAACACUGACGCUGAGGAGCGAAAGCCAGGGGAGCAAACGGG
rnacentral:rRNA from 1 species